CCCUCUCAUUGGCGAAUCUUCAGUUCAUGAAGUCAACUAUCCAGGCUCUAAUCGCAUUCUGGGUACCACCACCGCUCUGUUUCACCCCAUUAUCAAUCUCGCUCUUUCAAUUUUGCGAUCGUCAUUCCAAGUUUCUUGUAAAAUCACCGACUCCCAUUGAUCGGCAUAAGUUUGUUCUUAUCCAUCUUUUUAAGGCUUUUGGGUACUUCGGAACCCUAAAUUUUUGGGGAGUACUAUGCUGGUCGUACUGAAGAAAUUUUGAUUUUCGUAACUGUCGCUUUCUGUUUCUUUUAUUUUUUCGCUCUCGAUUUGGAAUUCGGAAAUUAGGAGAUGUCUAAAUGAUUUCAUAGCUAGCCAGAGCCACGAAGCCGGAUAAGGUUGAGGUUUCGGCUGGUUCUAGGAAUUUACUGUAGGAUGGCUUAGCAUGCAGUUGGUUGUGUGACAUCAGAGACUGUCAUGCUGGAGAAGCAAGGUUCGGAUGAAUUUCUUUCAAAAAUUAAUAAGGAUCCAUAGCCUCACUUGAUAUCCUCUUUUGCAUCUCCUGAUUCUCCUCGCUGAAGGUACAUGCAGUUUUUGUAAUAUUUUCUGUGAGUUUUUCCAGAGGAUUUUUCCAAGUAAUUGAUAUCAUGUGUGCCCUUGAGCUAAUCUUAACUCACUGCCUGAACCUUGCGUUCUUCUCUAAGUAUUUUGGCUCUGGAAAUGUAACCGAUGGCCUGAAGUUGUUGAUUUACAAGACUUGUGGGGGCCAUGGAUGAGUGAGAUGGCGAGAUUACAAGCUUCGAGAGAGGGCUUUUACUACAUACAGUAUUUGAUUGAGAAACAUAGAGGAAUAAGUAUGGAUUCUCCUACCCUAGCUUCACUUGAGGCGGUUUUUUUAGUAAAUCAAUUUCACAGCUCAUAAUGGAUUCCAUGGUCACAUUUGAUUUGAAAGAGUUAAUCGACUGGUUGAUUUUCAGGCCAUGAUAGAUUUGAUGGGAAUGAUACUUUUGAUUGAGAAAGGAACAAAUCUUGAGGUAUUACUGGUCGCAUGACUGUGGAUGCAUCCCAACCAAUGGGAGAAGAGAGCCUUGCCGAAUGGCUGCUGCUUUUGUAGUGGACUAGGAAAACCACAAUUAUCAUAAUUCAUAUAAAGCAUGAAUUUCCUCACUUGCCGAAUGGGUAGGGAGAAAAGAGAAUAAUGGAUUGGCACAUGAAAUAACUAGUAGCUGAAGCUUCUUAGAGUUCCAUGAUUCUUGAAGGAAUUUUAGAUCUGAAGAAGUUUUUUCUCAGUAUGAUGAGCACAAGAGUUUCACCAGAGGAGAAAACUCUUGUCGAAAACAAGGCUCUUGAGGCUUUGAAGUUCUGAGCUUGUUGAUUUUAGAAGGCAACGGACCCCACCAUCCCAUAGAAGAUACUAAUGAUAAGACUUUUAUAGGUUCUAAUCGUUGCCUCGGUCUCGGUUUGGAGGGUUGGCAAUCUCUUAGCUCUUGAAUUGGCGGGUUCUAAUCUCUAUAUUCUUUGGCAGUUCCACCGCUUCGAUCAUCUCUUCCUUCUUCUUCAUCCCCUCGACGGCAGCCGUUGUUUCUCCGUCCUUUGUCUAUGGCUUCCGAUUCAAAUUGUGGUGGUGGGAGGGAUUUUAGGGUUCGACAACCGAGGGAAAGGCGCCACAAAAGUUCCCAUGCCUAGGUUUUCGAUUCCGUUGGUUUUGUCCAUCUUACACAUGUCCGAUCCGUGAUGUGAAUUUACGCGCACUGAAAGAUCUCAUUCGAGAGAGUUUUAGUUUCUCAUGCUGCAGUGUAUUGUACUGGUUCUAAUUGCAUGAGCCUAGAUUUGGAGGGUUUGUAAUCUCUUGGCUUCUGAUUUGGAGGUUUCUCAAUCCCUAGAUUCUCAAGUUUGCAGUGCAGGAUGAUUGGUUUUCCUCCAACAAGGUGCAAGUUUAUUUUCCUUCCAUAUACUCAUUGAAGUUUCUUACCAAAGAAAUUGGGAACAGAGUUGGCGUAUGUUUCGGCACAAUAUGGGUCUUUUUGUUGCUGACAUUAUCAUUAUUUGGAAGUGUCGCUAAAGGCAGUGUGGAAGGUCUCAGAAGUUCUAUAAAAUAAUCCUUGAGAUGAAAAAAUUUGAGUGAGGAACUUAGAGGAGCAAGAAGGGAUUCUUCUACCGGGCCCGCGGGUAAAAAAGAUUCAGAAUAACGGUGAACAUUUAAUGAGGCACGUUGCAGCAAGUGUUCAAAAGCAUAUGGAUGAACAUAUUUUCGAGGAAAAGAUAUUUUCUAUCAGAGCAUUAUUGUUGGUGGCGAGGCGAUCUAGGAGAAUAGCCAUGGAUGAGGCUAAUUAGGAAUUAACUUCUCUUGUGCAUGUCUAGGAAUUAACUUCUCUUGUGCAGAUAUUUUCUAUCACAGCAUUAUCGUUAGGUAUUCAUUCCAUCUCCAUGAGAUCAAAAGCCGAAUCCUCAUGGUUCCAUCGAGCUGUAAUGGUCCAGUAUUUGAGUAAGUUCAAUUUAUUCUAUUGGUAGUAAAUUUAUUCAAUUUUAUUUAAUUGUUGUGGCUUCUUUGGCUGUACCAGAUAGGAUACUGUUUUGAAGGAAGUUAGGGCUUAUUGUCUUGGAGUUUGUUGUUUCAUGUCGUAGGUUAUGUUCUAGUCAAGUGGUUCGAGUUUAGUUGUUUGUGGCAUCAAUUGGAAAACAACGAUAAUUUAGAUUGUGUCUAAAUUUUUUGUGCUUUUUACUAACAGUAACAUAACUGGUUUGAUCAAUGAAGUAUAAGAUCUCUGCGUGGGCACAUAAGAACUCAUGCUUUGUUCCUUUACAGCUGACAAACAUUGUGCAACAUUUUUUCUGCAUCUUCUCUGUUUUUUUUUUCUUUUUCAAGUAUUCAUUAAUGAUUGGCUAAAGGUCCUUAACAUUUGAAUUUGUGUUAUUUGAACUCUUCAGUUCUUUUCUUGCUUGCAAACUCGCACUUUGUGUUUUCACUUUCCAUUUCUAUUUGCUGAUUUUAUAUUUUAACUUGUUGUUGAUUGAACCCACAUAUCAUCAUUUUUUUAGUAUACAUAUCAUCAUGUUAUUCACUCACUUGAGAUACUUGCAGCUAAGUGCAAAUUUGUAGGUUUGUAAUAAUUAGUACCAUUUAUUGUGAUUCUUUUUGUGGCUCUCUUGGUUUCUUUGGCUUAUGUUUUUGUAUUGCCAUAUUCAUCCCUUUUUUUUGUUUUACGAUUUAUGAUUUAUUGGCUAAUCUUCAUGAAUUUGUUACCUAAUUGAGUGAACUUUCUAGAGUUUUAAGGUUAGUGCAAGAACUCUGUUUAUUGAAUCCAUACUUCUUGGAGCUUGCUAGAAUUUCCAUGUCUUAAGGAUUUCUAUUGAACCUUUUGGUUGAUCUCAUAUUGAAUGUAUUUUUUGUAGAGUAUGAAGAUUAGCGGAAGAUGAUCUUCAAUUCAUAGAAAAAAUCCAGCCAAUUUGAGAUCCACCUAUAGGUUACCCAUAGAAAAUUUGUCUUUUACCAAAGAGUAUGAAUUUCCUAGAGCGGAUCUUUUUUAGGAUUUAAAGAUUUGUGGGUUAUAGUCUUCAAUCUCUUAUGAAGUUCGUGUCAUUGGGUUGGACACAGUUUUGCCAUCGAUUUAUGGUUUAUUGCCUAAUCUUCAGGGGUUUGUCAUCUAAAUGAGUGAACUUUCUAGAGUUGGAAGCUUGGUUGGAGAUAAUCUUCAAUUCUCUUUAUGGAAUCCAUACUUUUUGGAGAGAGUCAAAUUUUUCAUGUCUUAAAGAUUUCUAAUGUAACCCCUUGGUUGAUCUCAUAUUGAAUGAGUUUUUUGUAGUGUAUGGAGAUUAGCGGAAGAUGAUCUUCUAUUCAUAGAAAAAAUCUACCCAAUUUGAGAUCCACCUACAGGUUACAUUAGGAUUAUUUAACCCAUGGAAAAUUUGUCUUUAACCGAAUAGUAUGAAUUUCCUAGGAAGUGGAUCUUUUAUAGGGUUUAAAGAUUUGUGGGUUAUAGUCUUCAACCUCUUAUGAAGUUUGUGUUAUUGUGUUGGACACGGUUUUGCCAUUGAUUUAUGGUUUAUUGCCUAAUCUUUAAGGGUUUUUUUUAUCUAAUUGAGUGAUUUUUCUAGAGUUUUUGCUUCAAUUCUUUUUACAUAAUCCAUACGUUUUGGAGAGAUUCAAAAUUUCCUUGUCUUAAAGAUUUUUAACGUAACCCUGAGGUUGAUCUCUUAUUGAAUGGACUUUUUGUAGAGUAUGAAGAUUAGCGGGAGAUGAUCUUCAAUUCAUAGAAAAAUCCGCCCAAUUUGAGAUCCACCUAUAGUAAACAUUAGGAAUCUUUAACCCAUGGAGAAUUUAUCUUUAACCGAACAGUAAGAAUUUUCUAGGGAGAGGAUCUUUUGUAUGGUUUAAAGAUUUGUGGGUUAUAGUCUUCAACCCCUUAUGAAGUUCGUGUUAUGUGUUGGACACGGUUUUGCCAUUGAUUUAUGGUUUAUU